UACGUAGGUGGCAAGCGUUGUCCGGAAUUAUUGGGCGUAAAGCGCGCGCAGGUGGUUCCUUAAGUCUGAUGUGAAAGCCCACGGCUCAACCGUGGAAGGUCAUUGGAAACUGGGGAACUUGAGUACAGAAGAGGAAAGUGGAAUUCCAAGUGUAGCGGUGAAAUGCGUAGAUAUUUGGAGGAACACCAGUGGCGAAGGCGACUUUCUGGUCUGUAACUGACACUGAGGCGCGAAAGCAUGGGGAGCGAACAGG
rnacentral:rRNA from 1 species